GAAACAGUUUUCAAAUUUCUUUCACAAACAACAAUUUUCCUUUUUUUUUAUAUUCUAUCUCUUUUUUUUAAUUUUUUAAUUAAAAGCAAUUACAUGAGCAAUUCUCGAUAGGACUGCCCUAAGAGAGUUUGGUUCACUCACUCAACACCUAAAUACUGUUUUAUCACUUAGACCAUCUUUAUUGAAACUUCUUAACAAUAUUUCUUAGGUUUAAUAUAAUUAAAAAUAAAUCAUAAAUGGCAAUAUUACAAAGAAUAACCUCUUAACUAAGAAAUCUUAAGAAAUGUCGACAUGCUCAAAAAUAGUUGGGUGUAAUUUUUAAUAUAUAAGGGAAAAAAUUGUAUUCAUUUUUUUUUUCUCUCGCGACGGAGAUUACAAAGUUGAAAAUGAUUUUUGUCAAUGAUCUGUUGGAAGUGGAGAUGAUUGAUUCGAUUUUUGAUAACCUUCGUCUGUUCUUGGCCAUUAGCUCAGCCUCUCCACUGAUGGCGGAUUGCAACGGCAACUCUCGGUGAGGAAACCGACAACUUGGUUGGAUGAAAUCGGAGACCACCAAAUCGGAGGCUUUCCUUCACCAAUUCGGAGAUGUUCAAUCACCAAUCUCUUUCCCAUGGGUUGGAUAUUGAUGCACUUAAGUUACUGGAUGUGGGUUCCCAUCAUCUGCUCCAUGGCAACAUUUGAAGGAUCAUUUGCGGAGAGCUUGUGUUGUGUGCUUUGCUGAGGUAACUCGAUAUUUCAAUCUUCUGGAAAGUGUUGGGGUGAGAUUUGUUUCUCCACCUUUUUUUUUUAAUUUCUGUAAAUCUCUCUUGUUAUGUAUGCUUAGUAACAAGUGUCUAAUUUUAGGAUUUAACAAAAAGAGCCAAGAAUCAGUGAUAUGCUCAAAUUAAAUCCUAGAGCUACUCUCUCAAAUUAAGAGAUCAAUGCAGUACUUAGGGGUCGAA